UGCGGAGCCGCGCGCGCUUGCCUGCGCGAGCCGUUCCCGCGCUUUCUCCCUGCCCCGCCCAGCCUGAGGGGCAGGUGCGCGCCCCGGGCACCCCCGGCGUGAGGGGGGGCUGCGGAAACACCGGCGGGAGCGGGCCCCCGAGGGAACUUUGCCGUCCCGUGAGGCGGCACCGGGAGCGACCCUGCUCCGGGGGGCACAGGGACACCUCCCGACACAGCCCCUCGAAAUAGCGGCGGCCCCCGAGCGGGCUGAGCCCGUCCCAGCGGCGGCCGCAGCUGAAGUGCGAAGAGCAUCGUGCGCAGCGCGAAGCGCGCCCAGCUCCGCUGUGGGACCUCCCCCCCACACCUGAUUCGGACAAGGACGUGGCAUAUCGCCCUCCUCCCUGGGUUCUGCCCCGAAGAACCCACCUCCGUGAAUGCGCACAGCCCCACAUGCAAAGACAAGAGCACCCCGCCUGCGCUCUCAGCGCCGAGCCUGCCUGCAGCUCUGUGAGGCACAGAGGUGCGAUGGCAUCUCCCACCAAUGCACCCCCCAUCUUGAUGUCCCCUGCCAGGUUGGUGGCACCUCCUAGAUGCUCUCAGGUGGGGACAGCUGCAGUGCCAGGGUCCUGCAAGCAUCAGCCCUGCAUCCCCCUGACUACCACCCACCCAAGCACAAGGGUGAAAUGCUGACACACGUGUCCUCCCUAGUGGAUACAGGGGACUGGCAUCUUAUCAAGACUUGUCUUGGCAAGACAGCGACUGAAAAUCUCAACAUCUCAUCACAAGUGUGAGACAGCAGCUGCCAUUUAUCACUCUUGAUGAGUUGAUUGGCAUUCUCAGUUGUAACUGAACUCUGCAAGUGCACAAGAGAAGAGCACCUUCAAUUCUUCGCUUCAUGUCCCCAAAAUGCGUGCCCUAGGUUUUGAAGCCUGCUCACCCCAAUCAAGCCCUUCUGGAUCUCAUCAACAUGAAGGAACUCUCCUUUCGCCUUUCCAGCUGUUCUGUGCAAUACUUCUUGGGAGUGACUUCCUAGUGAUGCUAACAGGUUUCCCUGGCGCCCCCAAGCAGAUUAAGUGGAAGAACGCAGCAGCAAGUGCCUUCCCUCUAACCAGCUCCAAUGGAAUGGUUUUCCCAUAGGAAUUUACCUCAGAAGAAUAACCCCAGUCCCUCCAGCCAAACUGCCUCCUUUCCAGAGAAGCCAGAGGCUUGCAAGCCUUUAAAAAAAAAAAAAUCCCCAAAUCAAGAUAGUAUUUCAAGUCGGAUUAUGUCUCUUUCUCCAAAGAGCUGAAAGUUUAGCUGGAACUAAUUAGCCAGGCUCUGCAGAAAGGAGGCUGUAAAGAAGGAGGUUUCAUUGCCCUCAGUGCUGCAUCCCACUGCCGACAUCAGCAGUGGCAAUGGGGCAGUUCACUGGCAGGCAGAGGCAGGUGGAAGAAAAGGCAGUCGGGAAGCAGAGCCCUGAUAUUCAGGGUCUUCAGCCUCUUCCUUAGGGUUUUCCCUGAGAAAAUCACCUGGGUGAGGCCAACAGGAGAGGCUGGGAGCCAGCCCAUGCCCUUGCUGAGCAGAUUAGCGGCAGUGCUGAUUGUCCCUCCUUGCCAGCCCCAGGAAAGAAGCCUGAUCCCUGCCUGGCGCAGAAAUGGAUCCAAUGGGAGGUUGUGAGACAAAACUCGCUCAAAUAUUGAACUAGAAAAAUUUUGCUCGAUCUGCCUUUCAGUAAACAGUGACUAAUUGCUCUGGCUGGAGCUGCUGCACCUUCUAGAUUGGAAGGUGCAGAUGGAGCAACGAUAGUGAAGGCUCCUUACCUGACGCCGGCUGUACAUUAAUCACAAAUGUUUGCUAUGCAAAUCUUGUCAUACAAAGCAAUAAUUGCUGUUCCCAUACUGACCUCAUGUUUAUUUAUUACAUGAGCUCUUUAUUUGAA